rnacentral:rRNA from 1 species
AGAGUUUGAUCCUGGCUCAGGACGAACGCUGGCGGCGCGCCUAAUGCAUGCAAGUCGAACGGUCCCGUUCCCGACUUGUCGGGAUCGAGACAGUGGCGAACGGCUGAGUAACGCGUGAGUGACCUGCCCUUGGGUGGGGAAUAACCCCGAGAAAUCGGGACUAAUACCGCAUGUGUUCCACUUCGUAGAGGUUGUGGAAGAAAGGACGGGGGUAACCCCGUUCGCCCGUGGAGGGGCUCGCGUUCUAUCAGGUAGUUGGUGGGGUAACGGUCCACCAAGCCUAAGACGGAUAGCUGGUGUGAGAGCACGACCAGCCAGAGGGGGACUGAGACACGGCCCCCACUCCUACGGGAGGCAGCAGCAGGGAAUCUUGCACAAUGGGCGAAAGCCUGAUGCAGCGACGCCGCGUGAGGGACGAAGGCCCUAGGGUUGUAAACCUCUUUUCUCAGGGAAGAGCAAGGACGGUACCUGAGGAAUAAGCCACGGCUAACUACGUGCCAGCAGCCGCGGUAAUACGUAGGUGGCGAGCGUUGUCCGGAAUUACUGGGCGUAAAGGGCCCGUAGGCGGUCUGGAAAGUCUCCUGUAAAAUCUUCCGGCUCAACCGGAAAACGUCGGGAGAUACUUCCAGACUCGAGGACGUCAGAGGGAGACGGAAUUCCCGGUGUAGUGGUGAAAUGCGUAGAUAUCGGGAGGAACACCAGUGGCGAAGGCGGUCUCCUGGGGCGUUUCUGACGCUGAGGGGCGAAAGCGUGGGGAGCAAACCGGAUUAGAUACCCGGGUAGUCCACGCCCUAAACGAUGAAUGCUGGGUCUGGGGGGUAUCGACCCCCUCCGGGCCGUAGCUAACGCGUUAAGCAUUCCGCCUGGGGACUACGGCCGCAAGGCUAAAACUCAAAGGAAUUGACGGGCCCCCGCACAAGCAGCGGAGCGUGUGGUUUAAUUCGAUGGUAAGCGAAGAACCUUACCAAGACUUGACAUGCUGGUGGUACUCGCCCGAAAGGGUCGGGGACCCGCAAGGGAGCUAGCACAGGUGUUGCAUGGUUGUCGUCAGCUCGUGCCGUGAGGUGUUGGUUUAAGUACCGCAACGAGCGCAACCCCCGUGGUCAGUUGCUUUCUCUGGCCAGACUGCCCGCAAGGGAGGAAGGUGGGGACGAGGUCAAAUCAUCAUGACUCUUACGUCUUGGGCUACACACACGCUACAAUGGCCGGUACAAACGGUUGCGAAGCCGCGAGGUGGAGCCAAUCCGAUAAAGCCGGCCCCAGUUGGAAUUGUAGGCUGCAACCCGCCUGCAUGAACGCGGAGUUGCUAGUAAACGCAGGUCAGCACACUGCGUUGAAUACGUUCUCGGGGGUUGUACACACCGCCCGUCAAGUCAUGGAAGUCGGAAGCACUUGAAGUCGCUGGGCUAACCCCGAUUUAUCGGGGAGGUAGGCGCCUAGGGUGAAGCCGAUGACUGGGACUAAGUCGUAACAAGGUAACC